GUUUGCGUUGUUUCCAGUUAUUCAAAUCGAUCAAGCGGAGAAUUCAUGGGAAACUUUUAUCGAGUUCACAGUGAAUGGCUUAUAUUUUUAUAUAUAUAUUUUUUUUUCAUUUUUUCCGUAGCUGGGAGGAACGGAGUCGGAUAGGCCUGAUGCUGCGUUUGUGUAGUGACCGACUUCCAUAAAGAGGAAACUGAGAAGAGUGAUGCAGCAGUUAAAGAAACACGUCUACGAGACUCCAGUCCAGUCCAGAGACGAUCAACAAAGACUCACAGACACUCCAGCCAGAGAUGUACACACUCAACAAGGUCGCUACGAUGCAACACCGGUCUGAGGGCUCUCGAAUCAACCCCUCCUCCCUUCCCCUUUUCACAUUACAAAUAUUUGUACCUUCAGUGACAGUUUUCCUUUGCCAUCCUGUGCAUUGUCAUUGCCUUAUAUGUCCUAGUAUUUAC